rnacentral:rRNA from 1 species
UACAGAGGGGGCAAGCGUUGUUCGGAAUUACUGGGCGUAAAGGGCGCGUAGGCGGCCUGUUAAGUCGAACGUGAAAUCCCCGGGCUCAACCCGGGAACUGCGUCCGAUACUGGCAGGCUUGAAUUCGGGAGAGGGAUGCGGAAUUCCAGGUGUAGCGGUGAAAUGCGCAGAUAUCAGGAGGAACACCAAUUGCGAAGGCAGCUCGCUGGGACGUUACUGACGCUGAGACGCGAAAGCGUGGGGGAGCAAACAGG